rnacentral:lncRNA from 1 species
AUUUUAAUUUCAUGGACCUGACCUCAGAUGACGCUUUUGCCCCUCAGGUUCAAUACCAAAUCAACCAUCUCUCACCGUGGCAAGAAAUGUUCACGUACCUACCAAAGACAUUUUGAUUUUUUUAGGGUCAAUGGGACCCCAAGAAGGAAAUACGGGUCUCACAUUUAUUUUUAAAAUUCGUUAAAAAAAAAAACAACAAAAAAAUCACAUUCAAGCGUACCUACUAUACUACUGUACCUAACUACUACUCAUGCCGGCUUUGGUCUGCACGUGUGGUGACUAUUAUCUGUUCUUGGGAUUGUUGAAUUUGACUGCCAUUGAUCACUAGGAAAAAAUGAGAUCAUAGGUACCUAAAAAUAAGAAAAAUGAUCUCAACUGGGUGAAGAAUGAAGAUCCAUUAGCUAUGUUAGGAAUUGUGUCGACAUGUAAGGACUAAGGACCCCUAGUAGAAAAUUCUUGUUUCAUUGCUAUUGUAGUAGGAUUUUUUUGUAUGUCUGUGAAAUAUUAUAUUAUAUUAUAUUAUAUAUAUAUAUAUAUAUAUUUU